CCAGACUCCUACGGGAGGCAGCAGUGGGGAAUAUUGCACAAUGGGGGAAACCCUGAUGCAGCGACGCCGCGUGAAGGAAGAAGUAUUUCGGUACGUAAACUUCUAUCAGCAGGGAAGAAAAUGACGGUACCUGACUAAGAAGCCCCGGCUAACUACGUGCCAGCAGCCGCGGUAAUACGUAGGGGGCAAGCGUUAUCCGGAUUUACUGGGUGUAAAGGGAGCGUAGGCGGUUUAGCAAGUCAGAAGUGAAAGCCCGGGGCUCAACUCCGGGACUGCUCUUGGAACUGCGUGGCUGGAGUGCAGGAGGGGCAGGCGGAAUUCCUGGUGUAGCGGUGAAAUGCGUAGAUAUCAGGAGGAACACCGGUGGCGAAGGCGGCCUGCUGGACUGCAACUGACGUUGAGGCCCGAAAGCGUGGGGAGCAAACAGGAUUAGAUACCCCCGUAC
rnacentral:rRNA from 1 species